GACGAACGCUGGCGGCGUGCUUAGCACAUGCAAGUCGAACGGAAAGGCCCUGCUUUUGUGGGGUGCUCGAGUGGCGAACGGGUGAGUAACACGUGAGUAACCUGCCCUUGACUUUGGGAUAACUUCAGGAAACUGGGGCUAAUACCGGAUAGGAGCUCCUGCUGCAUGGUGGGGGUUGGAAAGUUUCGGCGGUUGGGGAUGGACUCGCGGCUUAUCAGCUUGUUGGUGGGGUAGUGGCUUACCAAGGCUUUGACGGGUAGCCGGCCUGAGAGGGUGACCGGCCACAUUGGAACUGAGAUACGGCCCAGACUCCUACGGGAGGCAGCAGUGGGGAAUAUUGCACAAUGGGCGGAAGCCUGAUGCAGCAACGCCGCGUGCGGGAUGACGGCCUUCGGGUUGUAAACCGCUUUCGCCUGUGACGAAGCGUGAGUGACGGUAAUGGGUAAAGAAGCACCGGCUAACUACGUG
rnacentral:rRNA from 1 species